rnacentral:rRNA from 1 species
GGGCAAAGGCGUCGGGAAUGUGGCUCCCCUCCGGGGGAGUGUUAUAGCCCGGCGUGUCAUACCCUUCGGGGGGCUGAGGUACGCGCUUCUGCAAGGAUGCUGGCGUAAUGGUAGCUAGUGA